UUAUAACAUGUAUAAAAAUAUAGCCACUAAAAACAAUCGUUUAAAAACUAAAGAACUUGGCGGUGCUUUAUAAAAUCAGGGGAGCUUGUUCCUUAAUAUGAUAAUCCACAAAUAUCUAUCUAUAUCUAGAAACCAUCAGUCUGUAUACUGCCGUCAUUGUUUAUCUUAAAAAACUAAACAAUUAACAUAAAUUACCAUCUUAAUAACAGGUCAAAGUGCAACUUAUGAUAUAGCGACCAUGUGCUACACUUAUAAUAAGAAAUAUAUAAAGCAUAUAAAUUUAAAGAACUUGACAGUAAUUAACUUUUACUAAAAAUUAAUUAAUAACUAAUAAACCAUGCACACAUCGCCCGUCACUCUCACUGAAAAUCG
rnacentral:rRNA from 1 species